UACGUAGGGCGCAAGCGUUGUCCGGAAUUAUUGGGCGUAAAGAGCUCGUAGGUGGUUUGUUACGUCUGCUGUGAAAACCUAGGGCUUAACCCUGGGCCUGCAGUGGAUACGGGCAGACUAGAGGUAGGUAGGGGAGAAUGGAAUUCCCGGUGUAGCGGUGAAAUGCGCAGAUAUCGGGAGGAACACCAGUGGCGAAGGCGGCCUGCUGGGCCGGCCCUGACGCUGAGGCGCGAAAGCCAGGGGAGCGAACGGA
rnacentral:rRNA from 1 species